GAUGAACGCUGGCGGCGUGCCUAAUACAUGCAAGUCGAGCGAACGGACGAGAAGCUUGCUUUUCUGAUGUUAGCGGCGGACGGGUGAGUAACACGUGGAUAACCUACCUAUAAGACUGGGAUAACUUCGGGAAACCGGAGCUAAUACCGGAUAAUAUUUUGAACCGCAUGGUUCAAAAGUGAAAGACGGUCUUGCUGUCACUUAUAGAUGGAUCCGCGCUGCAUUAGCUAGUUGGUAAGGUAACGGCUUACCAAGGCAACGAUGCAUAGCCGACCUGAGAGGGUGGUCGGCCAACCUGGAACUGGGACACGGCCCAACCCCCUACGGGGGGCAGCAGUAGGGAAUUUUCCGCAAGGGGCGAAAGCCGGACGGGGCAACGCCGGGGGAGUGAUGAAGGUCUUCGGAUCGUAAAACUUUUUUAUUAGGGAAGAACAUAUGUGUAAGUAACUGGGCACAUCUUGACGGUACCAAAUCAGAAAGCCCCGGCUAACUACGU
rnacentral:rRNA from 1 species